CAGAAACAUUUUGAGUUUGUAAACUCCAAAGCCAGAGAAACAGAACUAUGUCAUUGUUAAAUGGAGACAUGGUUUCUACUUUACUCUCCUCUUUAUUGGCAACAUGAUGAUCAAGACUGAUUCUGUUUUAAAGAAGCCUCUAGCAUCUUAGAGAUUUCUUGACAGCAAAGGAAAUUCUAAAAAGACUAACCAUAGCAAAAAACAAAUGACCUUCAAUUUGAAUAUAAUAACUGUUUACCUCCAAGACUUGGGCAACUCUUCUUUCUACCAUUUUCUUUCUACUGUGGAAUGUCUGUGAUUGACUAUGUACUUUAAAAAACAUGCAAAGUUAUCUUUUAUAGGCUCAAUUUGUACACAAAGAAGUUGAAGACACUUUAUCGAACAGUUUUCCAUAGUGAACUAAAAAAAUUAUUUUCUUUUUAAGUCUAGCUACUCACUUUAUUUGACCUCACGUUAUGGAGAUAUGCUGUAGGUGAAAUCUACUCUGGAUUUUGAAGGAACCCUGACAGAAAACUUUCCCAACAAGGAUGACCAACAGUUACUAUAUUUUUGCUUUCAUAUCCCCAACUGGGAUAGAGAAGCCAAGAGGUUAAAACACACAGCACAAAGAUUGUGGCUAGGUCUAACAUGUAUUAUGACAAAGAGAAAGGUUUUCAUGGAAAAUAGAGUACUAAGUAUUACAUUAUGUAAGAGAAUAUUGUUUAUGAAAAGACAUUACCCAAAAUAUUUCUAUGGCUAUUCCACAAACCCAAGCAAUUGAGGAAUAUUAACAAUAACUUGGAGGUAUAUAGGAAUGAGGGAAAAAGAGAAUCAUUUGGUCAUGAUAUUAAAAAAGCUUCUUUGAUCAUCAAACUAAUGAACAACUCAAGGAUUAUUAUGAAGGAAGCUUUCAGGAGAUGUCUUUAGCUAGACAAUACUUUUGAGCUGCUUUUUGAAGAUCUGACCCUGCCAUGGAAUCCCAGGCAAAUUUACAAGAAUGACUUUUAUGGCUGCUUUCCUCAGUGGGCCUAGUUUGUCCUAGGUUCUUCCAUAUGUAUCUCUAAGAAAAUAAAACUCAUUGCAGUCUAACCA
rnacentral:lncRNA from 1 species